AGUCCCCUAACCUUAUUCUUAUUUUUGGUUAGGGAAUCCAAGUUCUUAAGCACUUAAGUGGUGGUAAGCAUAUUUUCGUUUAAUGGUUUAGUCUUCCUAUUCUCUUUCAUUUCAUCUCCUUUCUUUAGACUCACCCUUGUUCAUUGUGGUUUUAGGAGUGUUCCAAAAGUCCUAACUCAGUCCAUUUUAUCCCGGUAACUUUGGUAAGGAAAAUAGGCUAGAAUCAAUAUGUUAUGUGCUUAUGUUAUCUAUAUGUUUUAUGUUAUUAAUGUGUUAUGAUAUGUAUGUAUGUUUGUAGGCUUGGGCAUAUGACCCAUAUGACUAACAAGACCCCAAAUGGAUUAUGGGCAUAUGACCUACUUAGCUAGUAGGACCCCACUAAUUCCAUGGGCAUAUGCUUGUUUAGUCUAUGGGACCCCAAGUAAUAAUGGCCAUUAUAAUAAGUGUAUGUUAUAUGUAUUAUGUUAAGUCUUUAUGUUUUCUUAUGAAAUUGUGUAUAUGACUAUGUGUUAGGAAAAUAGGCUAGAAUCAAUAUGUUAUGUGCUUAUGUUAUCUAUAUGUUUUAUGUUAUUAAUGUGUUAUGAUAUGUAUGUAUGUUUGUAGGCUUGGGCAUAUGACCCAUAUGACUAACAAGACCCCAAAUGGAUUAUGGGCAUAUGACCUACUUAGCUAGUAGGACCCCACUAAUUCCAUGGGCAUAUGCUUGUUUAGUCUAUGGGACCCCAAGUAAUAAUGGCCAUUAUAAUAAGUGUAUGUUAUAUGUAUUAUGUUAAGUCUUUAUGUUUUCUUAUGAAAUUGUGUAUAUGACUAUGUGUUAGGUUUUUCCUUGCUGGGCAUUAGGCUCACUCCUUUCUGUUUAUGUGCAGGAAAAUAAGCUUAGAGGCGGUAAGAUUCGUGAUGCUUGGGAGGAUGUGUAUCGAUGAUGAAUGGAGUCAAGGGGCCGAGCGUUAUCGAUUCGAGGAUGUAGUCUCCUUUUAUGUUUUUUAUGGUUUUACAUGUAUUUUCCGCAUUAUUAUGUAAUGUCUUUUAUUUUAAAUCUUAUUUUGUUUUAAAGACAAUGGGAUCCCAAAAUCCUUCUUAGUAUUCGUUUUUUUGUAAAUAACUCUUAUUUUCAAGUUACUCAAUAAAUUAUGGUAUUUUCGUAAAA